AUUGAACGCUGGCGGCAUGCCUUACACAUGCAAGUCGAACGGCAGCACGGGUGCUUGCACCUGGUGGCGAGUGGCGAACGGGUGAGUAAUACAUCGGAACGUACCUUAUCGUGGGGGAUAACGCAGCGAAAGCUGUGCUAAUACCGCAUACGCACUGAGGGGGAAAGCGGGGGAUCGCAAGACCUCGCGCGAUGAGGGCGGCCGAUGCCUGAUUAGCUUGUUGGUGGGGUAAAAGCCCACCAAGGCGACGAUCAGUAGCUGGUCUGAGAGGACGAUCAACCACACUGGGACUGAGACACGGCCCAGACUCCUACGGGAGGCAGCAGUGGGGAAUUUUGGACAAUGGGGACAACCCUGAUCCAGCAAUGCCGCGUGAGUGAAGAAGGCCUUCGGGUUGUAAAGCUCUUUUGUCAGGGAAGAAACACCGGCUCUAACACAGUCUGGGAAUGACGGUACCUGAAGAAUAAGCACCGGCUAACUACGUGCCAGCCGCCGCCGUAA
rnacentral:rRNA from 1 species